rnacentral:rRNA from 1 species
CAGCCGCCACGGGAAUACAGAGGGUGCGAGCGUUAAUCGGAUUUACUGGGCGUAAAGCGUGCGUAGGCGGCUUUUUAAGUCGGAUGUGAAAUCCCCGAGCUUAACUUGGGAAUUGCAUUCGAUACUGGGAAGCUAGAGUAUGGGAGAGGAUGGUAGAAUUCCAGGUGUAGCGGUGAAAUGCGUAGAGAUCUGGAGGAAUACCGAUGGCGAAGGCAGCCAUCUGGCCUAAUACUGACGCUGAGGUACGAAAGCAUGGGGAGCAAACAGGAUUAGAUACCCCAGUAGUCCCUGUCUCUUAUAC